AUUGAACGCUGGCGGCAUGCUUUACACAUGCAAGUCGAACGGCAGCGCGGGCUUCGGCCUGGCGGCGAGUGGCGAACGGGUGAGUAAUGCAUCGGAACGUGCCCAGUAGUGGGGGAUAGCCCGGCGAAAGCCGGAUUAAUACCGCAUACGACCUGAGGGUGAAAGCGGGGGACCGAAAGGCCUCGCGCUAUUGGAGCGGCCGAUGUCGGAUUAGCUAGUUGGUGGGGUAAAGGCUUACCAAGGCGACGAUCCGUAGCUGGUCUGAGAGGACGACCAGCCACACUGGGACUGAGACACGGCCUAGACUCCUACGGGAGGCAGCAGUGGGGAAUUUUGGACAAUGGGGGCAACCCUGAUCCAGCCAUGCCGCGUGCGGGAAGAAGGCCUUCGGGUUGUAAACCGCUUUUGUUCGGGAAGAAAUCCUCUGGGCUAAUACCCCGGGGGGAUGACGGUACCGGAAGAAUAAGCACCGGCUAACUACGUG
rnacentral:rRNA from 1 species